CAUCGCCUUUAGCCCCACAAGUAUUAAAGGUCCUGCCUGCCCAGUGAAAAAUUUUUUAACGGCCGCGGUACCCUAACCGUGCAAAGGUAGCGCAAUCACCUGCCCCCUAAUUAGGGGCUAGUAUGAACGGCUAAAUGAGGGCCCAACUGUCUCCUGAAGCCAAUCAAUGAAAUUGAUCCCUCAGUACAAACGCUGAGAUAAACACAUAAGACGAGAAGACCCUGUGGAACUUCAACUACCCCGCUAGCAAUUAGACUUCUCCUCCCCUAGCGAAAGUUUUAGUUGGGGCAACUACGGAGCAUAACAAAACCUCCACGAAGCGCAACUAGCCCUUGCACCUAAGGCACACAUGCCACCAAACAACUUGUUUGAUCCAGUAAAACUGAUCUACGAACCAAGCUACCCCAGGGAUAACAGCGCAAUCCCCUCUAAGAGUCCAUAUCGCCGAGGGGGUUUACGACCUCGAUGUUGGAUCAGGACCCCCAGGUGGUGCAGCCGCUACCAAAGGUUCGUUUGUUCAACGAGUAACGUCCUACGUGAUCU
rnacentral:rRNA from 1 species